AGGUCUUGACAUCUUCUGCUAACCUAAGAGAUUAGGCGUUCCCUUCGGGGACGGAAUGACAGGUGGUGCAUGGUUGUCGUCAGCUCGUGUCGUGAGAUGUUGGGUUAAGUCCCGCAACGAGCGCAACCCUUAUUGUCAGUUGCCAGCAUUUAGUUGGGCACUCUGGCGAGACUGCCGGUGACAAACCGGAGGAAGGUGGGGAUGACGUCAAAUCAUCAUGCCCCUUAUGACCUGGGCUACACACGUGCUACAAUGGACGGUACAACGAGUCGCGAAACCGCGAGGUCAAGCUAAUCUCUUAAAGCCGUUCUCAGUUCGGAUUGCAGGCUGCAACUCGCCUGCAUGAAGUUGGAAUCGCUAGUAAUCGUGGAUCAGCAUGCCACGGUGAAUACGUUCCCGGGCCUU
rnacentral:rRNA from 1 species